rnacentral:rRNA from 1 species
ACGGGAGGCAGCAGUGGGGAAUAUUGGGCAAUGGGGGAAACCCUGACCCAGCAACGCUGCGUGAAGGAAGAAGGCCCUCGGGUUGUAAACUUCUUUUACCAGGGACGAAUAAUGACGGUACCUGGAGAAAAAGCAACGGCUAACUACGUGCCAGCAGCCGCGGUAAUACGUAGGUUGCAAGCGUUGUCCGGAUUUACUGGGUGUAAAGGGCGUGUAGGCGGAGCUGCAAGUCAGAUGUGAAAUCCCGGGGCUUAACCCCGGAACUGCAUUUGAAACUGUAGCCCUUGAAUAUCGGAGAGGCAAGCGGAAUGCCUAGUGUAGCGGUGAAAUGCGUAGAUAUUAGGAGGAAAACCAGUGGCGAAGGCGGCUUGCUGGACGACAACUGACGCUGAGGCGCGAAAGCGUGGGGAGCAAACAGGAUUAGAUACCCUGGUA